GGACCCCAGGUCAGGCUUG
rnacentral:rRNA from 1 species